AGGAGUCAGACAGUGGGAGAUAAGUUUCAUUGUCAAAAGGGAAACAGCCCAGACCCACAGCUAAGGUCCCCAAGUAUAGUUAAGUGGAAAAGGAUGUGGAAUUGCACAGACAACCAGGAUGUUGGCUUAGAAGCAGCCACUCAUUUAAAGAGUGCGUAAUAGCUCACUGGUCGAGUGAUCCUGCGCCGAAAAUUUCCGGGGCUAAAACGUACUACCGAAGCUACGGCAUCAUUUAUGAUGGGUAGGGGAGCUUCGUAUGCAGGCUGAAGCAUGACCGUAAGGACAUGUGGACAGUAUACGAGUGAGAAUGUUGGCAUGAGUAGCGAGACGUGGGUGAGAAUCCCACGGGCCGUAAACCCAAGGUUUCCAGGGGAAGGUUCGUCCGCCCUGGGUUAGUCGGGACCUAAGCCGAGGCCGAAAGGCGUAGGUGAUGGACAACAGGUUGAUAUUCCUGUACCGCCAAUAAGCGUUUGAGAGAUGGAGUGACACAGUAGGAUAAGCUAACCGUACUGUUGGUUAUGUACGGCUAAGCAUUGAGGCAGUCUAAAUAGGCAAAUCCGUUUAGACAAUGCUAGGAUGUGAUGGGGAAGCCCUUCGGGGCGAAGUAGCUGAUUUCACACUGUCAAGAAAAGCUUCUAUCGAGUUUAAAGGCGCCCGUACCGUAAACCGACACAGGUGGGUGAGGAGAGUAUCCUAAGGCCAGCGAGAGAACUAUUGUUAAGGAACUCGGCAAAAUGACCCCGUAACUUAGGGAGAAGGGGUGCCUGUCUAUGACAGGCCGCAGAGAAUAGGCCCAAGCGACUGUUUACCAAAAACACAGGUUUCUGCUAAGUCGCAAGACGAUGUAUAGGAGCUGACGCCUGCCCGGUGCUGGAAGGUUAAGGGGAUCUGUUAGAGCAAUCGAAGCAGUGAACUUAAGCCCCAGUAAACGGCGGCCGUAACUAUAACGGUCCUAAGGUAGCGAAAUUCCUUGUCGGGUAAGUUCCGACCCGCACGAAAGGCGUAACGAUUUGGGCACUGUCUCAACAAUAGACUCGGUGAAAUUGUAAUCCCGGUGAAGAUGCCGGGUACCUGCGACAGGACGGAAAGACCCCAUGGAGCUUUACUGUAGCUUGACGUUGGGUCUUGGUACUACAUGUACAGGAUAGGUGGGAGACUAUGAAGCAUGGACGCCAGUCUGUGUGGAGUCAUCCUUGGGAUACCACCCUUGUAGUACUGGGAUCCUAACCAUAGGCCUUGAAUCAGGUCUUGGAACACCGUCAGGUGGGCAGUUUGACUGGGGCGGUCGCCUCCUAAAAAGUAACGGAGGCGCUCAAAGGUUUCCUCAGCACGGUCGGAAAUCGUGCGAAGAGUGUAAAGGCAAAAGGAAGCUUGAUUGCAAGACAUACAGGUCGAGCAAGGACGAAAGUCGGACUUAGUGAUCCGGUGGUACCGCAUGGAAGGGCCAUCGCUCAACGGAUAAAAGCUACCCUGGGGAUAACAGGCUUAUCUCCCCCAAGAGUUCACAUCGACGGGGAGGUUUGGCACCUCGAUGUCGGCUCGUCGCAUCCUGGGGCUGUAGUAGGUCCCAAGGGUUGGGCUGUUCGCCCAUUAAAGCGGCACGCGAGCUGGGUUCAGAACGUCGUGAGACAGUUCGGUCCCUAUCCGUCGCGGGCGUAGGAAAUUUGAGAGGAUCUGCUCCUAGUACGAGAGGACCAGAGUGGACUUACCGCUGGUGUACCAGUUGUUCUGCCAAGAGCAUCGCUGGGUAGCUAUGUAGGGAAGGGAUAAACGCUGAAAGCAUCUAAGUGUGAAGCCCACCUCAAGAUGAGAUUUCCCAUGAUUUUAUAUCAGUAAGAGCCCUGAGAGAUGAUCAGGUUGAUAGGUUAGAAGUGGAAGUGUGGUGACACAUGUAGCGGACUAAUACUAAUAGCUCGAGGACUUAUCCAA
rnacentral:rRNA from 1 species